rnacentral:rRNA from 1 species
UACGUAGGGUGCGAGCGUUGUCCGGAAUUAUUGGGCGUAAAGGGCUCGUAGGCGGUUUGUCGCGUCGGGAGUGAAAACUCAGGGCUUAACCCUGAGCCUGCUUCCGAUACGGGCAGACUAGAGGUCUGCAGGGGAGAACGGAAUUCCUGGUGUAGCGGUGAAAUGCGCAGAUAUCAGGAGGAACACCGGUGGCGAAGGCGGUUCUCUGGGCAUUACCUGACGCUGAGGAGCGAAAGUGUGGGGAGCGAACAGG